rnacentral:rRNA from 1 species
AACGAACGCUGGCGGCAUGCCCAACACAUGCAAGUCGAACGAAGCCUUCGGGCUUAGUGGCGCACGGGUGCGUAACGCGUGGGAAUCUGCCCUUGGGUUCGGAAUAACAGUUAGAAAUGACUGCUAAUACCGGAUGAUGUCUUCGGACCAAAGAUUUAUCGCCCAAGGAUGAGCCCGCGUAGGAUUAGGUAGUUGGUGGGGUAAUGGCCCACCAAGCCGACGAUCCUUAGCUGGUCCGAGAGGAUGAUCAGCCACACUGGGACUGAGACACGGCCCAGACUCCUGCGGGAGGCAGCAGUGGGGAAUAUUGGACAAUGGGCGAAAGCCUGUUCCAGCAAUGCCGCGUGAGUGAUGAAGGCCUUAGGGUUGUAAAGCUCUUUUACCAGGGAUGAUAAUGACAGUACCUGGAGAAUAGGCUCCGGCUAACUCCGUGCCAGCAGCCGCGGUAAUAC